ACUCCUACGGGAGGCAGCAGUAGGGAAUAUUCCACAAUGAGCGAAAGCUUGAUGGAGCGACACAGCGUGCACGAUGAAGGUCUUCGGAUUGUAAAGUGCUGUUAUAAGGGAAGAACAUUUGCAAUAGGAAAUGAUUGCAGACUGACGGUACCUUGUCAGAAAGCGAUGGCUAACUAUGUGCCAGCAGCCGCGGUAAUACAUAGGUCGCAAGCGUUAUCCGGAAUUAUUGGGCGUAAAGCGUUCGUAGGCUGUUUGUUAAGUCUGGAGUUAAAUCCCGGGGCUCAACCCCGGCUCGCUUUGGAUACUAGCAAACUAGAGUUAGAUAGAGGUAAGCGGAAUUCCAUGUGAAGCGGUGAAAUGCGUAGAUAUAUGGAAGAACACCAAAGGCGAAGGCAGCUUACUGGGUCUAUACUGACGCUGAGGGACGAAAGCGUGGGGAGCAAACAGGAUUAGAUACCCUGGUAGUCCACGCCGUAAACGAUGAUCAUUAGUCGGUGGAGAAUCACUGACGCAGCUAACGCAUUAAAUGAUCCGCCUGAGUAGUAUGCUCGCAAGAGUGAAACUUAAAGGAAUUGACGGGGACCCGCACAAGCGGUGGAGCAUGUGGUUUAAUUUGAAGAUACACGGAAAACCUUACCCACUCUUGACAUCCUUCGCAAAGCUAUAGAGAUAUAGUGGAGGUUAACAGAGUGACAGAUGGUGCA
rnacentral:rRNA from 2 species